UUCAACUCAACUCAGAGAGCAAACCAGAGCAUAUCCACAUCCACCGAGCGAACAGAAAGAACAACUCGAUCAGUCACAGACAGAGUCUCGAAUCUUGCGUUCGAUUUGAUCGGAGAAGAUGGCGAGCAAGGGAGGCAACAAGGGGGAGGGCCCUGCGAUCGGCAUCGACCUCGGCACCACCUACUCCUGCGUCGGCGUAUGGCAGCACGACCGGGUGGAGAUCGUCGCCAACGACCAAGGCAACCGCACCACGCCGUCCUACGUCGCCUUCACCGACACCGAGCGGCUCAUCGGCGACGCCGCCAAGAACCAGGUCGCCAUGAACCCCACCAACACCGUUUUUGGUAAGCCCCGCCUGCCCCGGUCUCUUAUCUUAUACAGUAGAAUCCAUGCUCGUGCAGUGAGAGUACGUGCUCUGCCUUUUGCUCUGUUUUACGCUAAU
rnacentral:lncRNA from 1 species